CUGACAUCAAUACACAGGUGACUUGCAACUGCUUGCUUGUGGUCCUCUGUAGCUAAGAGAAUAUGAUUAACUAACUAACUAAAAUAAAUAAUCUUCCUUAUAGACUUGGUUGAAGUGACUGUAUAAGGUAUCAAGGGUAUUCAGUUCUUAUUAUUCUGUUUCAUAGCAACAAAAACAUUGCAGAUGCAGAAGUUCUGAAGGUUCUGAAAGGCAUCAAAUUUCCUCAGCUCUCAAGUCUGCAUUAGGAGCAUGUUACUACAUGUUUAUAUUCUGGAAAUUGUUUUGGCUUUCUCUGAUGAGAAGUUGACAGAAUAUUACCAAAAUGCCUGAAUGUCAUCUGAUUUUCAAUGAAGUGUUUGCAACUUUCUGACAGAAAGAAGGAGAGAGAUGGAGUCUCAAGAGAAACAAUAACUCCAAUUGCUGUGAUAAAAGAUCCAAACAGUAGUCUUUUGCUCAAAUGAAACAAAAUUGUACUGACUUUGGUACGAAUUAGCUGAUGAAUCUAGACAUUUAUCCUAAAAUGCCUCUACUUUAUUUGUCUGCGUAAUCCAUUAUCUUUAUAAAGACUCUGCUUUUCAGUUCAAAAACACCUUUAAAUUGGAGAUUACACUAAAAUAUGC
rnacentral:lncRNA from 1 species